UGGGGAAUUUUGCGCAAUGGGGGAAACCCUGACGCAGCGACGCCGCGUGGAGGAUGAAGGUCUUCGGAUUGUAAACUCCUUUUGUCGGGGAAGAUAAUGACGGUACCCGAUGAAUAAGCCACGGCUAACUCUGUGCCAGCAGCCGCGGUAAGACAGAGGUGGCAAGCGUUGUUCGGAAUUACUGGGCUUAAAGGGCGCGUAGGCGGUGGUGUAAGUCUGGGGUGGAAGAUUAGGGCUUAACCCUAAAAUUGCCUUGGAAACUGCAUCACUUGAGUCAGCGAGGGGAUGGCGGAAUUCCAGGUGUAGCGGUGAAAUGCGUAGAUAUCUGGAGGAAGGCCGGUGGCGAAGGCGGCCAUCUGGCGCUGAACUGACGCUGAGGCGCGAAAGCGUGGGGAGCAAACAGGAUUAGAUACCCUGGUAGUCCACGCCCUAAACGGUGGGUACUAGGUGUAGGGCUCGCAAGGGUUCUGUGCCGUAGGGAAACCAUUAAGUACCCCGCCUGGGGAGUACGGCCGCAAGGUUA
rnacentral:rRNA from 1 species